rnacentral:tRNA from 1 species
GGGGUUGUGGCUCAGCAGUAGAGCGCUUGCCUAGCAGGUGCAAGGUCCUGAGUUCAAUCCUCAGCACCA